CCUACGGGAGGCAGCAGUAGGGAAUAUUGGGCAAUGGAGGCAACUCUGACCCAGCCAUGCCGCGUGCAGGAUGAAGGCGUUAUGCGUUGUAAACUGCUUUUAUAUAGGAAGAAAUAGACCUUGCGAGGUAAGUUGACGGUACUAUAUGAAUAAGCACCGGCUAACUCCGUGCCAGCAGCCGCGGUAAUACGGAGGGUGCAAGCGUUGUCCGGAUUUAUUGGGUUUAAAGGGUGCGUAGGCGGUUUAUUAAGUCAGUGGUGAAAGACGGUCGCUCAACGAUUGCAGUGCCAUUGAUACUGGUAGACUUGAGUGAGAUUGAGGUAGCUGGAAUGGAUAGUGUAGCGGUGAAAUGCAUAGAUAUUAUCCAGAACACCAAUUGCGUAGGCAAGUUACUAAGUCUCAACUGACGCUGAGGCACGAAAGUGUGGGUAUCAAACCAGGAUUAGAUACCCUGGUAGUCCACACGUAAACGAUGAUAACUAACUGUUGGCUUUCGGCUCAGUGGUACAGAGAAAUGGUUAAGUUAUCC
rnacentral:rRNA from 1 species